GCAAUUAGGGUUUGAUUUCGGAGAGGGAGCCUGAGAAACGGCUACCACAUCUACGGAUGGCAGCAGGCGCGCAAAUUACCCAAUGCAGACACUGUGAGGUAGUGACGAGAAAUAAUAAAGUGGGGCGCAAGUCUCGCUAUUAUAAUGAGGAAUAACUAAAGAUCAUUCCUAUUAGCAACUGAUGGGAAAGUCUGGUGCCAGCAGCCGCGGUAAUACCAGCUUCAGUAGCAUAUAUUAACAUUGUUGCAGUUAAAACGUCCGUAGUCUGUACGUCGUCCGAGACUUUACUACAAUGCUACAUGCUUUUCAUUGAGUGUGCAGUUUUUUGUAGUUGCUCCCUUGAUCAAAAUAGAUUGCUCAGGGUAGACAUGGUCUUCAUAUCAUCACAUGGAAUUGGGUGAGGGAACUUAAGAGUUUAAGUUUCUCGUCUUAGGAUCAUCUGGGGUCAUUCGUACUCGUCCGCGAGAGGUGAAAUUCUUGGACCGGACGAAGACGAUCAGCAGCGAAAGCAUCUGUCAGGGAUGCUUUCUGCGACAAAGGACGAAGGUCAGGGUAUCGAAGACGAUUAGAUACCGUCGUAGUCCUGACUGUAAACUAUGCCGACUGGGGUCUUGCAGAGUUGAUACUUUGUGAGACCCACACAGAAAUGAAAGUGUAUGGGUUCUGGGGGUAGUAUGGACACAAGUCGAAACUUGAAGGAAUUGACGGAAGAGCACCAUAAGACGUGGAGCUUGCGGCUUAAUUUGACACAACGCGGGAAAACUUACCAGGUCAAGACAUGGGCGUGAUUGACAGGCUAAUGACCUUUCUCGAUUCCUUGGAUGGUGGUGCAUGGUCGCACUUAGUUGGUGCAGUGAUUUGUCAGGUUUAUUCCGGUAACGAACGAGACCUCGGCCUUGUAAAUAGCCUUAUUGCUUCUUACAGGGACAAUGUCGGCUACGUCAAGGAAGUUCGAGGCAAUUGCAGAUCUGGAAUGCCCUUAGAUGUCCUGGGUCGCACGCGUGCUACAAUGACGCCAUGAACGAGUUUAUGCGAUGAAAGUCGUGUAAAAUCACUAAUCGUCGUCUUAAGGGACAGUCUCUUGUAACUGUGGGACUCUAACUAGGAAUGUCUCGUAAGCACAAGUCAACAUCUUGUGUUGAUUACGUCCCUGCUCUUUGUACACACCGCCCGUCGCUCCUACCGAUCGAGUGUUUAGAUGAAUUUGACGGACUUCUGGAAGUUAAAUAAAUCUGAGCACUUAGAGGAAGGAGAAGUCGUAACAAGGUU
rnacentral:rRNA from 1 species